AAGAUGAGUGCUCUCACUACUUUAAGUAGGUAAGGUCACGGGAAGACUACCCGUUAAUAGGUGUUCGGUGGAAAUGCAGUAAUGUAUGCAGCCUAGACACACUAACAGACCGAGGACUUGACCUCAUAA
rnacentral:rRNA from 3 species